UACGUAGGGUGCGAGCGUUGUCCGGAUUUAUUGGGCGUAAAGAGCUCGUAGGCGGUUUGUCGCGUCGGCCGUGAAAUCUCCACGCUUAACGUGGAGCGUGCGGUCGAUACGGGCAGACUUGAGUUCGGUAGGGGGAGACUGGAAUUCCUGGUGUAGCGGUGAAAUGCGCAGAUAUCAGGAGGAACACCGAUGGCGAAGGCAGGUCACUGGGCCGCAACUGACGCUGAGGAGCGAAAGCAUGGGGAGCGAACAGG
rnacentral:rRNA from 1 species